AACCUGCGGAGGGAUCAUUACCGAGCGAGGGCUCGCGCCCGACCUCCCACCCUGUGUGAACGCGUCCCGUUGCUUCGGGGGCGACCCUGCCCUGGCGGGCGCCCCCGGAGGUCGUCCAACCCUGCAUCGUUGCGUCGGAGUUACAGUCAAUGGAAACAAAACUUUCAACAACGGAUCUCUUGGUUCUGGCAUCGAUGAAGAACGCAGCGAAAUGCGAUAAGUAAUGUGAAUUGCAGAAUUCAGUGAAUCAUCGAAUCUUUGAACGCACAUUGCGCCCUUUGGUAUUCCGAAGGGCAUGCCUGUUCGAGCGUCAUUUCACCUCUCACGCCUGGCGUGGUGUUGGGCGUCGCGGCCUCCGCGCGCCUUAAAGUCCCCGGCCGAGCCGUCCGUCUCCGAGCGUUGUGAAUCUCUAUUCGCUCCGGAGGGCGGGGGGCCGCGGCCGUUAAACCUCUCCACAGGUUGACCUCGGAUCAGGUAGGGAUA
rnacentral:rRNA from 1 species